GGAGACCCCGUCCAGGGGGGGCCGGCACACCUGGAGCUGCACAACUUAAGUGCCGCCAACAUUGGGGUGUAUUGGUGCCAGGCCCAGAACAGCUAUGGGGCGGCCAACCGGAGCGUGCGGGUCACCAUGCACUCUGGUCCUGUCCCCCGGGCCGAGAGGCUCCUCCCUGUCAUGGAGCUCGUGGUCAAGGCUGUGGUCAUGGUGGCUGGGUUGGUGCUGGCCCACACCUUAACACGGUGCUGCUACAGCAGGAGCCUCAGGGCGGGAGCCGGCACUGAAGGGGCCGGGGCCGGCACGUAGGCAGGAGCCCGAGGCCACCAGAGACCUGCCUGAAGGGAGAGGAGCCACGGGCACCACAGACCCCCUGUGCUCUGUCCAUCCAUCCCUCCGUCACACACCACCUGCUCCUCCUAUUGUCCACAGCUGCCCAGGGAGAUUCCCACCAUCCAUCCAUCUAUGCAUUUAUCCAUCCAUCCAUGGACUUUGUUAUGCAUCCAUCCCUUCCUCCAGUCCUGAUCCCCCCGAACCCCACCACUCCUCACUGUCCUGUGCCCACCCUGGGCCCAUUUCCCAGUGGGGGCUGGGUCUCCACUGCACCCACGGUGUCCCCAGGCAGUCCCUCCUGCCCCACUUGGGUCCUGGGGCCCAUCCUGCUGGGCAGGGCCAAGCCAUGGGCUGGGUGCCUGAGCACCAUCCUCCGUGGUGCAGACCUGGCACCAGUACUGGAUUAAGAUAUAUUGGGGUCUGGGCAAACAUAAAAUUGGAGGCUUCCCACACCCUAUUAUAAACAUGAAUGUAUCCAAAAGCAUUAAUCACCAGACCUAUUAAAUGUUUACAUGGCUCCGGGACUGUGGCGGGGAAUCUUUUCAUAGUAUUGUAGUCCUUAGUGUCAGAAGGGACCUAAGCAGAUCAUCAGAUCCUAACCCCUGCCCCGGGCAGGAAUGGGUGCCAGGAUCAUAUCCCUCCAGCCAAAUAUCUGUCCAGCCU